rnacentral:rRNA from 1 species
CCUACGGGUGGCUGCAGUGAGGAAUAUUGGUCAAUGGACGAGAGUCUGAACCAGCCAAGUAGCGUGAAGGAUGACUGCCCUAUGGGUUGUAAACUUCUUUUAUAUGGGAAUAAAAUGUGCCACGUGUGGGAUUUUGUAUGUACCAUAUGAAUAAGGAUCGGCUAACUCCGUGCCAGCAGCCGCGGUAAUACGGAGGAUCCGAGCGUUAUCCGGAUUUCUUGGGUUUAACGGGAGCGUAGGUGGAUUGUUAAGUCAGUUGUGACAGUUUGCGGCUAAACCGUAAAAUUGCAGUUGAAACUGGCAGUCUUGAUUACAGUUGCGGUCGGCGGACUUC